CCUACGGGGGGCUGCAGUGGGGAAUAUUGGACAAUGGGGGGAACCCUGAUCCAGCCAUGCCGCGUGUGUGAAGAAGGCCCUCGGGUUGUAAAGCACUUUCAGUGAGGAAGAACGCCUGGUGGUUAAUACCCAUCAGGAAAGACAUCACUCACAGAAGAAGCACCGGCUAACUCCGUGCCAGCAGCCGCGGUAAUACGGAGGGUGCGAGCGUUAAUCGGAAUUACUGGGCGUAAAGCGCGCGUAGGUGGCUUGAUAAGCCGGUUGUGAAAGCCCCGGGCUCAACCUGGGAAUGGCAUCCGGAACUGUCAAGCUAGAGUGCAGGAGAGGAAGGUAGAAUUCCCGGUGUAGCGGUGAAAUGCGUAGAGAUCGGGAGGAAUACCAGUGGCGAAGGCGGCCUUCUGGACUGACACUGACACUGAGGUGCGAAAGCGUGGGUAGCAAACAGGAUUAGAUACCCUGGUAGUC
rnacentral:rRNA from 1 species